CCUACGGGUGGCAGCAGUGAGGAAUAUUGGUCAAUGGGCGCAAGCCUGAACCAGCCACGCCGCGUGAGGGAUGAAGGUCCUAUGGAUUGUAAACCCCUUUUGUCGGGGAGCACGGCCCGCCAUGUCUGGUGGAUAGGAGAGUACCCGCUGAAAACGCAUCGGCAAACUCCGUGCAAGCAGCCGCGGUAAUACGGAGGUUGCGAGCGUUAUCCGGAUUUAUUGGGUUUAAAGGAUGCGCAGGCGGGCUGUAAAGCCGGCGGUAAAAAUUCAGGGCUCAACCCUGUCGAGCAGUCGGAACUGGCAGCCUUGAGUGGGGGAGAGGUAAGCGGAAUUCGUGGUGUAGCGGUGAAAUGCGUAGAUAUCAGGCAGAACGCCGGUGGCGAAGGCGGCAGACCGGCGCCCAACUGACGCUGAGGCGCGAAAGCGUGGGGAGCGAACAGGAUUAGAUACCCGAGUAGUC
rnacentral:rRNA from 1 species